CCUACGGCGGGCAGCAGUGGGGAAUAUUGGACAAUGGGCGAAAGCCUGAUCCAGCCAUGCCGCGUGUGUGAAGAAGGCCUUCGGGUUGUAAAGCACUUUCAGUGGGGAAGAAAGCCUUGGGGCUAAUACCCUCGAGGAAGGACAUCACCCACAGAAGAAGCACCGGCUAACUCCGUGCCAGCAGCCGCGGUAAUACGGAGGGUGCGAGCGUUAAUCGGAAUUACUGGGCGUAAAGCGCGCGUAGGCGGUCUGAUAAGCCGGUUGUGAAAGCCCCGGGCUCAACCUGGGAACGGCAUCCGGAACUGUCAGGCUAGAGUGCAGGAGAGGAAGGUAGAAUUCCCGGUGUAGCGGUGAAAUGCGUAGAGAUCGGGAGGAAUACCAGUGGCGAAGGCGGCCUUCUGGACUGACACUGACGCUGAGGUGCGAAAGCGUGGGUAGCAAACAGGAUUAGAUACCCCUGUAGUC
rnacentral:rRNA from 1 species